GUGUUGGAGAAGCCGGUGUUACUGAAUUCUGCUCGCACUAACUUGACUCUCCUUCUCCACUGCUGUGUACAGAUUUGCUCAUUAAGAUGGACCAAGGCAGCAUCCUUUUCCGGGAACCCUUUCUAAUACCUUGAGCUGAAAAACAUAAGUAAUUGCAUUUUCUUCUGUUAGAUCAGUGCUAACAGCUGAUUCCUUUUGUCAUUUAUGAAUUUUUGACUGCCAACAAAUGAAUAUUCUGACCAGUAUAGUUAUCUAUGAAAAUUCACUUUGCUCUCUUUUUUUUUCCCCCCUUAGGUGCUUGGUAUCAAACUACAGAAAUAACUUACACCAGUCUUGCUUGCCACAGAAUCAGAAUCGUUAUAAUAGGGCUUAAUUCAAAGCUAAUAGGAAGCUUUAUUGAGUGAGUCAUGGUAAUUUGUUCUUUAAUUCCAUUUCAGUCAGUGCCUCUUCACAUUCAGGAAGUAAUUUUUAAAAUCAAGUCUAAAUCAUUUCUAUCUAAAGUUAAAAGCACAGAGCAUAUGUGACAGAAAAACACCCCAGCCUCAAGAAUCAUAAUUCCGUCUCAGUAGGGCAAUAACAUGCAAAUUACUUACAAAAAUGUGAGCUUUAACUGCUAGGUUACCAGGAAAAAAUUAUUCAGAAACAGCUAUAAUAAAACUUUUUACAAAUUCUAUAGUUCUUUGCCUUCCUUCAGCACACAGGUGCUCCUAUAAGGCCCAUAAACCCCAGCAUGAAACUGUUGGUCUAUAUUUAGUGUUAACUUAGCCAAGUAGUAUAAGAUUCCAAAUAGUAACUUUUCCAUAAUGCCUAAGGUUUUUAGUAAAUAUGUUACUGAAACUAUGCUUUAAAAAGAAACGGGAAAAAAAAAAAAAAAAAAAAAAAAACCCACCGUGCCUUGAUUCAACUGGUAACUGAUGAGAUUCUUACUAGAUUGAGAUUGAUGUCCUUAUUUGGCUGAUGUGAUUUGUAAACGGACACUUUUCCCCACUUCUGCCAUGAUGAGCUCACAUACAUAAAUACCGGGUAGCAGGUGGAGCUGCCACUCUGACAACUAACCUGCCCAGGACUCCAGACCAACCAGAGAGUUAUCAGGACAGAAUGAGGUUGUAACACCCGAACCAGGAUGAGGGCUGAUCAGAGGACUCCUAGAGCUUCCUGUAGCUGCAAAAGUGGACUGUGCCUGGGAGAUCGUAUGGCUACAGACACGCUGCCCCCACUGCCAGUGAUGGACGCACUUUAUCUCUUCACCUUUCUUUAAAGCUUUAUUCUCUGAGUUUUUAUGCAUCCUCCUUUCUUCGGAAUGCCUGCCUCUUAACGUGGUUCUCACACACACAUGCCAAGGAGUCUGCCCUCUGGUGGACAUAAGAGAAACUACAGUCAGGAGACCAGCAGUCCCACAAGCCCACUCCGCAGAUCGCAGGGCAUUUACUAUUCCAGCAGGACACCAAGAGUUAAGUGGCGAACUGGUCUGUAAUCCUUUAUAAUCCUACCCUCCAUGGCCAUGACUAGAUGUACAUUUUUCACCCCUUGAAACAUGUUGCAUGUUGUCAAUUGGAGAAUGUUUGCCCCCAAAAUUCCUUUUACAACUUGUAUUCAAUAUGGACCUCAUUCUACUCUGGGGGAAAAGGAAUGCCUGUCAUUUUUUUUUUCUAAAAAACUUCAGCUAUACCAGAGAACCACUUCAUGAAGAAGCAUGAUAUAACUAAUAACUGUUCUCUCAGAAGCACAUGACACAUUAAAAUCUAUGCCAAAUUUCUUGAAAACUGAAAAUGCUUGUUAGUUAUUAUCAUGCUCAGCUUUUAUUUCCCAACUACCCGAUCUGUUUUAAACCAUCUAUUUUUUGAAGAAAUAAUAGCCUCAGUUUGAACACUAUGUGUUUUUCUCUCUCCUGUAAACUUCCAACCCUGUGAAGUAUGUAUUAAUCCCUCAAAGAUGUGGGAAAUGGAAACCCGACAAUUCUUCACACCAGUCUGAAUUCAGCCGUAUUUUACACCAGUGAGGGAGUAAAAAGGCAAAAUAAGGAGAGAGUCCUCCUGAGGCACAGCAGGUUAAGGAUCCAGUGUUGUCACUGCAGCAGUUCACUGCUACAGCACAGGUUCAAUUCCUGGCCCAGGAACAUCUACAUGCUGCGGGAUGCAGCAAAGAAAAAAAAGAAAGAAAAAA
ensembl:lncRNA